rnacentral:misc_RNA from 1 species
CAGUAGUCACCCGGGGCGCCGCAAGGCCUCCCGGGUAACCUACCACCCUUUGUUUAUUACACUUUGUUGCUUUGGCAGGCCUGCCCUCGGGCUGCUGGCUCCGGUCGGCGCGCGCCCGCCAGAGGCCCGACAAAUUCUGAUUGUCAGUGUCGUCUGAGUACUAUAUAAUAGUUA